UACGAAGGGGACUAGCGUUGUUCGGAAUCACUGGGCGUAAAGCGCACGUAGGCGGAUGUGUCAGUCAGGGGUGAAAUCCCGGAGCUCAACUUCGGAACUGCCCUUGAUACAGCACGUCUUGAGUCCGGAAGAGGUGGGUGGAAUUCCCAGUGUAGAGGUGAAAUUCGUAGAUAUUAGGAAGAACACCGGUGGCGAAGGCGGCCCACUGGUCCGGUACUGACGCUGAGGUGCGAAAGCGUGGGGAGCAAACAGG
rnacentral:rRNA from 1 species